rnacentral:rRNA from 1 species
GGCGGCGUGCCUAACACAUGCAAGUCGAACGGAGAUUACGGACGGAAGUUUUCGGAUGGAAGACUGUAAUUCUUAGUGGCGGACGGGUGAGUAACGCGUGGGCAACCUGCCCUAUACAGGGGGAUAGCAGCUGGAAACGGCUGGUAAGACCGCAUAAGUCGGUUAAAUCGCAUGAUUUGAUCGGGAAAUGAGCAAUCAGGUAUAGGAUGGGCCCGCGUCCGAUUAGCCAGUUGGCAGGGUAAAAGCCUACCAAAGCGACGAUCGGUAGCCGGACUGAGAGGUCGGACGGCCACAUUGGGACUGAGACACGGCCCAAACUCCUACGGGAGGCAGCAGUGGGGGAUAUUGCACAAUGGAGGAAACUCUGAUGCAGCGACGCCGCGUGAGUGAAGAAGUAUUUCGGUAUGUAAAGCUCUAUCAGCAGGGAAGAUGAUGACGUACCUGACUAAGAGCCCCGCA